rnacentral:rRNA from 1 species
GAUGAACGCUAGCGGCUGGCUUAAUACACGCAAGGCGAAGGGGCGGCAACGUCGCUGUCGUACGGGUGCGUAACGCGUAUGCAACCUACCUAUCACUGGGGGAUAGCCCGGGGAAACCCGGAUUAAUACCGCAUGAUACAUGUGAUCAGCAUUGGUUAUAUGUUAAAGAUUUAUUGGUGAUAGAUGGGCAUGCGUUCGAUUAGCUAGUUGGCAGGGUAACGGCCUACCAAGGCGACGAUCGAUAGGGGAGCUGGGAGGUUGAUCCCCCACACGGGCACUGAGAUACGGGCCCGACUCCUACAGGAGGCAGCAGUAAGGAAUAGUGGGCAAUGGAUGCAAGUAUGACCCAGCCAGGCCGCGUGCCGGAAGAAGGUCCUCAGGAUUGUAAACGGCUUUUAUUCGGGAAGAAGAGCAGAGGUGCGCCUUUGUGGGACGGUACCGAAUGAAUAAGCACCGGCUAACUCCGUGCCAGCAGCCGCCGUAA